CGNAUGGGGGAACCCUGACGGAGCGACUCCGCGUGGACGAUGGAGGCCGUAAGGUUNNAAAGUCCUUUUCCUGGUGAAGAAUGACUGGAGGAGUGGAAAGCCUCUGGGAUGACGUUNGCCAGGGAAUAAGCCCCGGCCAAUUACGUGCCAGCAGCCGCGGUAAUACGUAUGGGGCAAGCGUUGUUCGGAGUUAUUGGGCGUAAAGGGCGUGUAGGCGGCUCAUCAAGUCUGGUGUGAAAAUGCAGGGCUUAACCCUGCAGAUGCGCUGGAAACUGGUGGGCUUGAGUUCCUGAGGGGAAGCUGGAAUUCCAGGUGUAGGGGUGAAAUCUGUAGAUAUCUGGAAGAACACCGGUGGCGAAGGCGAGCUUCUAUCAGAGGACUGACGCUGAGGCGCGAAAGCGUGGGGAGCAAACAGGAUUAGAUACCCUGGUAGUCCACGCUGUAAACGAUGUGCACUAGGCGUGGGGCACGUCCGUGCUCUGUGCCGUAGCUAACGUGAUAAGUGCACCGCCUGGGGAGUAUGCUCGCAAGGGUGAAACUCAAAAGAAUUGACGGA
rnacentral:rRNA from 1 species